rnacentral:rRNA from 1 species
CGUAAACAACCUGCCUUAAGGAUGGGGAUAACAGACGGAAACGACUGCUAAUACCGAAUACGUUCUAAGCAUCGCAUGGUGCAUAGAAGAAAGGGCGGCCUCUACAAGAAAGCUAUCGCCUUAAGAGGGGUUUGCGACUGAUUAGGUAGUUGGUGAGGUAACGGCUCACCAAGCCGACGAUCAGUAGCCGGUCUGAGAGGAUGAACGGCCACACUGGGACUGAGACACGGUCCAG